rnacentral:tRNA from 1 species
GCGCCCGUAGCUCAGUUGGAUAGAGCAUCUGCCUUCUAAGCAGAGAGUCGCGUGUUCGAAUCACGCCGGGCGUGCCA